UGAUUGAAUAUUUGGGAAGAUACGCAACCUUAUGGGCUAAAGCGUGACCGCAAAUAUGCGUGAAAAAUAGAUGGCGAUUCUCUCCAGUAUGCGCGAAAAUAAUUUCGUCCGUCGCUUCUCAUUAGUAAUCGGCCGAUCAUCCCUGAGUCGUGUGAGAGAGUUUUUGCACAGGUUCGUGUUUGCCGUAUUGCAAUUUGUUAGUUCUUAAAAUUUUUUCUUGGAUAUCAUAAUCACAAAUAGAUAGACAUAUGUAAAUGUGUUUAGUUUGUGAGACAAUGGCUCCUUUAGGCAAAAUUAAUAAGUGUGCGUAUCGUGGGUGCAAUAAUGUAAGAAAAUGUAAAAACAAUGUUCUCAGUUUUUUCAAAUUUCCGAUUUUAAAACCAGUGUUACUUAACUAGUGGAUAGAAAAUAUAGGCAAUGCGGAAACAUAUGUUAUGGAUGAAAAUUUAUUAAAAAACAAAGUGGUUUGCGAGAAACAUUUUGACAAAAUAUACAUUGCAGUAAGUAAUAAGCGAAAGAGACUUUUAAAAUCAGCUGUACCAAUUUCAUGGAAAGAACUGGCCUCUAGAAACACAAUUUCUUUGCCUGAUACCUCAUGUAACGCUCAAAGCCUUGAGAGUUUAGAUGCAAAAGUUUCAUCAAUAAAUUGGGAAAAUGGCAGAUUUUUUUAACUGUUGUAUUAAAAGUACAUAAGUGGGUAUACUUUUAAUGCUCAUUCUUGUGCUCACAUUACUGAAAAUAUUCCUAUUUGCCCUUUUGCAUAUUUUUAAACCCUUUUACAAGUUGAUGACAAACCUUACCUAUUACGACAAUAAGUAUUAUAAUAUUAUUAUAACUAUAAUUAUUAUUAUAUAUUACUUACAUAUAGACAGGAUAAUUCUUUUAAUGCACA